rnacentral:rRNA from 1 species
GACGGAGGGUGCAAACGUUGUUCGGAAUCACUGGGCGUAAAGGGCGCGUAGGCGGACUUGUAAGUCGGGAGUGAAAACUCGGGGCUCAACCCCGAGCCUGCUUCCGAAACUGCGAGUCUUGAGGACCGGAGAGGAAAGUGGGAAUUCCUAGUGUAGCGGUGGAAUGCGUAGAUAUCAGGAGGAACACCAGCGGCGAAGGCGGCGCUCGUGGGCUGGAACUGACGCUGAGGAGCGAAAGCGUGGGGAGCGAACAGG